rnacentral:rRNA from 1 species
CGGGGUGGAGUAAUGUCUGGGAACGUGCCUGAUGAGGGGGGAUAACUGCUGGAAACGGUAGCUAAUACGCAUAACGUCGCAAGACCAAAGAGGGGGACCGUUCGGGCCUCUUGCCAUCGGAUGUGCCCAGAUGGGAUUAGCUAGUAGGUGGGGUAACGGCUCACCUAGGCGACGAUCCCUAGCUGGUCUGAGAGGAUGACCAGCCACACUGGAACUGAGACACGGUCCAG